GGUGAGCGCGGGAGAGGCGCUGCGGGAAUACGGAGGGGGGUGGCGUGGUGCGUAAUGAAUGGGCGUAAAGCGCACGUAGGCGGAACAGAAAGUCAGGGGUGAAAUCCCGGUGCGCAACCGCGGAACUGCCUUUGAAACUCCUGUUCUUGAGGUCGAGAGAGGUGAGUGGAAUGCCGAGUGUAGAGGUGAAAUUCGUAGAUAUUCGGAGGAACACCAGUGGCGAAGGCGGCUCACUGGCUCGAUACUGACGCUGAGGUGAGAAAGCGUGGGGAGCAAACAGGAUUAGAUACCCCUGUAGUC
rnacentral:rRNA from 1 species